rnacentral:rRNA from 1 species
UAGGCGGACCGGGGUGGAGUAAUGCUGGGAAACUGCCUGAUGGAGGGGGAUAACUACUGGAACGGUAGCUAAUACCGCAUAACGUCGCAAGUACCAAAGAGGGGGAACCUUCGGGCCUCUUGCCAUCGGAUGUGCCCAGAUGGGAUUAGCUAGUAGGUGGGGUAACGGCUCACCUAGGCGACGAUCCCUAGCUGGUCUGAGAGGAUGACCAGCCACACUGGAACUGAGACACGGUCCAG